UACGUAGGGAGCAAGCGUUGUCCGGAUUCACUGGGUGUAAAGGGUGCGCAGGCGGAUUUGUAAGUCAGAGGUGAAAUCUCACGGCUUAACCGUGAAACUGCCUUUGAUACUGCAGAUCUUGAGUUUGGGAGAGGUUGAUGGAAUUCCAGGUGUAGCGGUGAAAUGCGUAGAUAUAUUGAAGAACACCAAUAACGGCGAAGGCAGUUAACUAUUCUGUUACUGACGUUGAGGCACGAAAGCGUGGGGAGCAAACAGG
rnacentral:rRNA from 1 species